GAUGAACGCUGGCGGCGUGCCUAAUACAUGCAAGUCGAGCGAACAGACGAGGAGCUUGCUCCUCUGACGUUAGCGGCGGACGGGUGAGUAACACGUGGAUAACCUACCUAUAAGACUGGGAUAACUUCGGGAAACCGGAGCUAAUACCGGAUAAUAUAUUGAACCGCAUGGUUCAAUAGUGAAAGACGGUUUUGCUGUCACUUAUAGAUGGAUCCGCGCCGCAUUAGCUAGUUGGUAUGGUAACGGCUUACCAAGGCGACGAUGCGUAGCCGACCUGAGAGGGUGAUCGGCCACACUGGAACUGAGACACGGUCCAGACUCCUACGGGAGGCAGCAGUAGGGAAUCUUCCGCAAUGGGCGAAAGCUUGACGGAGCAACGCCGCGUGAGUGAUGAAGGUCUUCGGAUCGUAAAACUCUGUUAUUAGGGAAGAACAAAUGUGUAAGUAACUAUGCACGUCUUGACGGUACCUAAUCAGAAAGCCACGGCUAACUACGUG
rnacentral:rRNA from 1 species